UCCACCUAAUAUAUAAUGUUCUUUUGAGUUCUGAAGAUGAACAGAGCAGAGAAACAAGGGAGAUGGCAAGGGAGAUGGAUCACUGGGAGUUUUGGGAUUGGGAUGGUUGGCAAGAAGAUAGGAAUGUCUGUUGUUUCUCUUCAUAGAAUCCUUUUAAAUCUUCUUGCCCAACCCUCCCAUUCCCAUGAUUUCCAGGUUUUCUUCUCUUACCUCUUCUUUCAAUACUCUAAAUUCCCCAUCUUCAAGAAAUAAAGGAAGCGUAAGUAAGCAGCAAUCAUAGAAAUUCUGGAAUUUGCUGGGAUGGAGGGCUGGGAAAGUGGAGGAAAAUAAAAAUGGAAUCUUCAAUCUUCCCCAGACCCCCCAUACCAACAAUUUCUAGUUUUUCCUGCCUUUCCCUCUUUUUCUACGUCCUUCGCUCCUCAAGUAGUGAUGGGUUCUCCAUCUAGAUCCAAAUUCAGGGUUGUUUUUCUUCACCCAAGAAGCAGAGGAAGCAGAACUGGGUCUGACCAAAAGUUAUCUGAAGGGAUUCCCUUGGAUCACAGAUCUCAUUCCAGGACAGAAUCCUUUUAACCGGUCAGCAUCAGCUAGAGAUCAUGCCAACUGGGUUGUUCUAGGUUCUACAAGAGAACAAGUAACACAAGAAAAAUGGAAACUGGGUUCUGAUCAGAUCAAAAAUAUGUGUGACUAUGUAGACAUUUUUGGUGGGAGGAUUUCUUCGUGUUUCUAGUAGUUUCAGUAUUUCGUGUCGUUUACAGAGUUUUUGCAGUCCUGUAAUGGGGUUAGUUGUAAGACUCUUUUCUUUUCUUUUCCUCCUCAAGUUAACAAGAAAUUAAUGGUCUUGUCUAUAA